rnacentral:rRNA from 1 species
GCUCAGGAUGAACGCUGGCGGCGUGCCUAAUACAUGCAAGUCGAACGCACAGCGAAAGGUGCUUGCACCUUUCAAGUGAGUGGCGAACGGGUGAGUAACACGUGGACAACCUGCCUCAAGGCUGGGGAUAACAUUUGGAAACAGAUGCUAAUACCGAAUAAAACUUAGUGUCGCAUGACACAAAGUUAAAAGGCGCUUUGGCGUCACCUAGAGAUGGAUCCGCGGUGCAUUAGUUAGUUGGUGGGGUAAAGGCCUACCAAGACAAUGAUGCAUAGCCGAGUUGAGAGACUGAUCGGCCACAUUGGGACUGAGACACGGCCCAAACUCCUACGGGAGGCUGCAGUAGGGAAUCUUCCACAAUGGGCGAAAGCCUGAUGGAGCAACGCCGCGUGUGUGAUGAAGGCUUUCGGGUCGUAAAGCACUGUUGUAUGGGAAGAACAGCUAGAAUAGGGAAUGAUUUUAGUUUGACGGUACCAUACCAGAAAGGGACGGCUAAAUACGUGCCAGCAGCCGCGGUAAUACGUAUGUCCCGAGCGUUAUCCGGAUUUAUUGGGCGUAAAGCGAGCGCAGACGGUUGAUUAAGUCUGAUGUGAAAGCCCGGAGCUCAACUCCGGAAUGGCAUUGGAAACUGGUUAACUUGAGUGCAGUAGAGGUAAGUGGAACUCCAUGUGUAGCGGUGGAAUGCGUAGAUAUAUGGAAGAACACCAGUGGCGAAGGCGGCUUACUGGACUGUAACUGACGUUGAGGCUCGAAAGUGUGGGUAGCAAACAGGAUUAGAUACCCUGGUAGUCCACACCGUAAACGAUGAACACUAGGUGUUAGGAGGUUUCCGCCUCUUAGUGCCGAAGCUAACGCAUUAAGUGUUCCGCCUGGGGAGUACGACCGCAAGGUUGAAACUCAAAGGAAUUGACGGGGACCCGCACAAGCGGUGGAGCAUGUGGUUUAAUUCGAAGCAACGCGAAGAACCUUACCAGGUCUUGACAUCCUUUGAAGCUUUUAGAGAUAGAAGUGUUCUCUUCGGAGACAAAGUGACAGGUGGUGCAUGGUCGUCGUCAGCUCGUGUCGUGAGAUGUUGGGUUAAGUCCCGCAACGAGCGCAACCCUUAUUGUUAGUUGCCAGCAUUCAGAUGGGCACUCUAGCGAGACUGCCGGUGACAAACCGGAGGAAGGCGGGGACGACGUCAGAUCAUCAUGCCCCUUAUGACCUGGGCUACACACGUGCUACAAUGGCGUAUACAACGAGUUGCCAACCCGCGAGGGUGAGCUAAUCUCUUAAAGUACGUCUCAGUUCGGAUUGUAGUCUGCAACUCGACUACAUGAAGUCGGAAUCGCUAGUAAUCGCGGAUCAGCACGCCGCGGUGAAUACGUUCCCGGGUCUUGUACACACCGCCCGUCACACCAUGGGAGUUUGUAAUGCCCAAAGCCGGUGGCCUAACCUUUUAGGAAGGAGCCGUCUAAGGCAGGACAGAUGACUGGGGUGAAGUCGUAACAAGGUAGCCGUAGGAGAACCUGCGG